CUGAUGCUGAGGCGGGUGACCCACGUGACCACACAUUAUCCAGCGUGCAGCGCGGCUGACGGGAGGUGGAGGAGAGUGUCAGUCAGAGCCUGAGCCCUGACUGAGGCGGAGAUGUGGUGUAAUAAUGUUCCAGCUCACGCUGACGCGAGCUCUGGCUUCCUGGUUACUACGGCAACACCGUCGCGUCAUCAAGCCGCGUCAGUUGUGCGCCAGUUCCGGGUCCCUGGGGCGCGGACACGGGCGGUGGUUCUUCACGGCGGGCUUCUCCUAGGUAUUUAGAUCCAUUCUGAAGGACCCUCUGAUGGCAAAGUGCCUAUAUAUCAUCAGGAUUGCAUCAGUUUCAUCUCUGUGCCAGUCCGGGAGGUAGGCCGGCCACGCAAUCUCACACACCUACACCUGACUUCUAGCAGCACAGUUCAGACUGGGUGUACUGAAUACCACUAGUAAGAAGUAAAGGGUCACUGCCUAAAAUAAAUCAGGCUUGGUCAUAAUAUUUCUUCAGGUGGCUG